rnacentral:rRNA from 1 species
AUUGAACGCUGGCGGAAUGCUUUACACAUGCAAGUCGAACGGCAGCACGGGGGCAACCCUGGUGGCGCGUGGCGAACGGGUGAGUAAUACAUCGGAACGUGCCCGGUCGUGGGGGAUAACGUAGCGACAGUUACGCUAAUACCGCAUACGAUCUGAGGAUGAACGCGGGGGACCUUCGGGCCUCGCGCGAUCGGCGCGGCCGAUGUCAGAUUAGGUAGUUGGUGGGGUAAAGGCCUACCAAGCCGACGAUCUGUAGCUGGUCUGAGAGGACGACCAGCCACACUGGGACUGAGACACGGCCCAGACUCCUACGGGAGGCAGCAGUGGGGAAUUUUGGACAAAGGGCGCAAGCCUGAUCCAGCCAUUCCGCGUGCAGGACGAAGGCCUUCGGGUUGUAAACUGCUUUUGUAUGGAACGAAAAGGCUCUGGCUAAUACCUGGGGCUCAUGACGGUACCGUAAGAAUAAGCACCGGCUAACUACGUG